GGAUCAUGAGGACAAACCUAAAUAAAACGUUUGUAAAAACUCUGUAAAAUGUAUUAUGCAUCAUAAGCUGCAGCAGUGUGCAUUUAUUUUAUUUAUUUAUUUAUUUAUUUAUUUUUGUGUUGGGAAUGAGCUUGUUUUGUUUUUUUUUGUUUUUUUUUUCAGCCCCAGCAAUAAGUAGCUAAAGUGCUCUCUUUUACGAAUAUCCUUAAAUCCUGACGAAUCGCAUUUUUAGGGAGAGUAUAACCGGGUUAAUUAAAAUUAUUGAGCGUAAUGCUCUUCAGAGCCGUGCAGCAGGGGCGACGGGGGCAGACUUUUGUGCUGAUGUCGGAGUGAAGUCUGCAGAGCGUUUUUCGGUGAUGCUGCCGCCGGGUCCGUUCUUCAAGUUCGUUUCCAAGGAGGAGAGACGCCUCGCGCCAGGACUCCGCCCCCUUCUCCUGAAUGCGCGAGCAGCUGCUUUCAAACCCAACUGCUCAAUUCCAUUCAUCCUCGAGAGGGAACAAAAAAGUGGCUAUUUAUUAGAAUACUUGUUUUGUAUUGUUCCGCGUCACACAAAAGAGGCUUUAUUAUUGUGUAGUGAGUGGUGGGACUGGGAGCUGGGUAUGACUGGCCUUGGCACACUAAGUGUAGAUUUUAGCAAGGAUGGCGGUCUGGCGAGUGGCUUUGGCUGGUUUAGGACAGCGAUAGAACCGGUAAGGACGAUUUUACAUCACUGCAGAUGAAGGACAGUGCAACGUAAGUUUAUAUAGAUUUAGAUUGAUAUGUAUUCUCUUCUGGGGAAAGGCUUACUUUUGGAUAUUUUAACAAAUCGUAAGUUAAUGUUCUCGUCUCGACGCGUGAUAUAUUGAGACGAUGUCGCCUGACUAACUGGUCAGAAGCAGAUAGAAGUUCGGUGCCUAAGUGCGAACUGCGCCAUGAAGCCUGUUAACAGAAAGCUGUGAUCAGUUUUACUGAGCUAGCCUACUGUAUCGCAUGAUGUGCUGUCUGUAACUGUUAAUCGGAUAAGAGAAAGUAACGCGAUUUUUUUUUUCUUUCCCAACUACAGUCCGGAGAUGUAGGCUAGGCUAUCUCAGUACCGGUCGUAGUCUGAACAUGCGUUCGUGUUUAAAGCAUCAAGCGAGAACAAUUCUCGAUGGAAGUCAGCCAGUUUGGCCCGCUAAGGUUUUCGUUUUCUUUUUUCACUUGCAGCUUUAAAAGACAACCUGCUAGGGCAAACCAACUCACUG
rnacentral:lncRNA from 12 species